AGCCCAUGAUGAGGGCACAAUCUCAACAUCUUGUUAAAGCGCUCCCACGCUUCAUAGAGGGAUUCUCCUUCCUUUUGAGAAAAACUUGUGAUUUGACUUUUCAAUU